CGUAGGUGGCAAGCGUUGUCCGGGUUUAUUGGGUUUAAAGGGUGCGUAGGCGGUGAUUUAAGUCAGUGGUGAAAUACUUCAGCUUAACUGGAGAGGUGCCAUUGAUACUGGGUCACUUGAGUACUGAUGAGGUAGGCGGAAUGGACGGUGUAGCGGUGAAAUGCUUAGAUAUCGUCCAGAACACCGAUAGCGAAGGCAGCUUACUAAGGAGUAACUGACGCUGAGGCACGAAAGUGUGGGGAUCAAACAGGAUUAGAUACCCCUGGUAGUCCACACUGUAAACGAUGAUCACUCGAUGUUGGCGAUACACAGCCAGCGUCUUAGCAAAAGCGAUAAGUGAUCCACCUGGGGAGUACGCCGGCAACGGUG
rnacentral:rRNA from 1 species